rnacentral:rRNA from 1 species
CACGUAGUUAGCCGUGGCUUUCUCACAGAGUACCGUCACUUUCCUCUUCCUCUGCGACAGAAGUUUACAACCCGAAGGCCGUCAUCCUUCACGCGGCGUUGCUGCGUCAGGGUUUCCCCCAUUGCGCAAUAUUCCCCACUGCUGCCUCCCGUAGGAGUCUGGGCCGUGUCUCAGUCCCAAUGUGGCCGAUCAACCUCUCAGUUCGGCUACUGAUCGUCGACUAGGUGGGCCGUUACCCCGCCUACUAUCUAAUCAGACGCGAGUCCAUCUGUAAGCGAUAAAUCUUUCAAAGCUUCCCAUGCGGAAAAACUUCAAUAUGCGGUAUUAGCACAGUAUUUCUCUGUGUUAUCCCCCUCUUACAGGCAGGUUACUCACGCGUUACUCACCCGUCCGCCGCUCUCCAACAAAAGACUUCACCCCGAAGGGAUCAGUCUCUUGUUUCCCGCUCGACUUGCAUGUGUUAGGCACGCCGCCAGCGUUCGUCCUGUACGCCGACGGGACUACGAAAACCUCUACUUCG